UGUGUCUGUAACCGCAACUCAAGCAAGUUUUCCAGCCUACACCACGACCAUCACUGGUGAGUCAACAAGUCAGUUUCUAGACAAGGGAGGCUGGACCUGCCUGUUCCUACAAAAACAAUACACCGUCUGAUCUACACAUGGAUAUUGCUGCUUAUUACCUAACCAGAAGGUUGAUGAAAUAAGGUUCAUAGGCUCGUCU